GUGUUUUGAUGCGAAGUUGUCGAGUAUUACGUGAGUACUGCUGAUCCGUCUGAGAAAUUGCAUACAACAAGUUCGCGAUAUUACGCGGUAUAGUGUCAGUAUAUAGGUUUAAUACAAUAUACAAGAACAAUAGUACGCUUGGCCUUUGUCGUCGACUGAUUAAUGUUAUCUUCGGCAGCCGUUCGACUCGUCUGAGAAUAAGUUCCAACGAAGUGCGUUAAACGAGGAAACGUCGUUUUACAUUCACACGGAAUAUUAAUCGCUAUCGUCGUUAAUCAUAUAAUUAAUAAAAAUGAAUAGCAUUGACAACAUCUAAUCUCAUUAUAUUGCAGCUAGAAGGGUUAUAACUAGGUUGUUCAGUGUUUACGUCCAAAGCACAAAGCGUGGUUGGUAUCAUAAUAUAAACGACCUCAAUAAUUGUGUCCACUCAACGACAGUCUAUAUAGAUGAAGAAUAGGAAAAA